GAUGAACGCUGGCGGCGUGCCUAAUACAUGCAAGUCGAGCGAACAGACGAGGAGCUUGCUCCUCUGACGUUAGCGGCGGACGGGUGAGUAACACGUGGAUAGCCUACCUAUAAGACUGGGAUAACUUCGGGAAACCGGAGCCAAUACCGGAUAAUAUAUUGAACCGCAUGGUUCAAUAGUGAAAGACGGUUUUGCUGUCACUUAUAGAUGGAUCCGCGCCGCAUUAGCUAGUUGGUAAGGUAACGGCUUACCAAGGCAACGAUGCGUAGCCGACCUGAGAGGGUGAUCGGCCACACUGGAACUGAGACACGGUCCAGACUCCUACGGGAGGCAGCAGUAGGGAAUCUUCCGCAAAGGGCGAAAGCUUGACGGAGCAACGCCGCGUGAGUGAUGAAGGUCUUCGGAUCGUAAAACUCUGUUAUUAGGGAAGAACAAAUGUGUAAGUAACUAUGCACGUCUUGACGGUACCUAAUCAGAAAGCCACGGCUAACUACGUG
rnacentral:rRNA from 1 species